UUUAAGUUAGGACAAGUAGCAAAACUACCAACCCACAUGGUCCAGCUGGCCAUCUGUUUCCCUGGGGUUGUGCAGGGUCUUCCUCUCUGUAGGGGGCUGGGGCUGGGAGGGAGAGCUCUGGCCUAGCUCAGAGGGGCCUGGAAGAAAAGGCUGUUCCCACUCUUGCUUUAAGAUGAGCUUCCUGCCCUCGGUGGAGGGGGAUUCAUUCACUCUCUGCUCUGUAGUGGAGUUGCUAAGCUUCCUUAGACCCGUAGGAAACGGUCUUAUUUUUCUAGUGGAAAAGCUAUUGUUACCUUAGAAAGCAUGGAAAGUGAUUUAUCAAAGGAGGAAAUCUUAGCAUUUUGUGGAAGAGAUGACCUUAAGUUAAGGAUGGGGGGAAUCUGGAGCUCUCUGGCAGGCAAGGAUGGUCAUUCCCAGCAUUGUACUCUCCUCCUUCCUUCCACAGAGACCACCGAAGGCCCUGUUUGGAAGAAGCUUGUCUAUUUAAUUGAACUCAAUUCAGACUAGUGCACAGGAAGGAGAAGUUGACAUUUUUUCCUUUCUGUCCUGCCUCUACACCAGGGCCACUAUGGAGAACAGGAAGGAAGGCCACACAGGAGAUGCUUUCAUCCCCCCUGACCGAGGAGAACCGUCCACUAAAUCGUUGGGUCAGUUACUCAAUGUCACCUCGGUUGAGCUCUGUGCCAUUUGCCUAGAAAUAAGACAUAGUGUGAAGGUUUCUAUUCUAGAAGUUGUUUGUUUGGGGGCAAAGGGGAAGGGCAGAGAGCCACAUGGCCUGAGAAAGCAUCUCCUUGCCUUGGCGCGUCUCCGCAGGAGCUGUUGCCAACUGCAUCUCACUGUAAGUGGAACCUUGUUGGUUUCCAUGGUGGCUAUAGGACACCAUCAAGGAUGGCUGGGCGGCGGACGUCAGAUGGUAAAAGGGAGCCAAGGAUUUGGUAGGAAGGGGCCAAGAGUGAAAGAAAGCUUCCUUGGGGAUUCUGCUGUGUGGCAACACAAGUGUGCCCCUUGAGAUCGUUUCUCAGAGACAGAGUUUGGUUGGAGAGCACAUGUGAAGGGCUUCCAAGAGCGAGCGGCGAAACGGAACCCGAGUAGCCAUUAUGCAGAGACAGGCAGGUUAGGGUUUGGAUUAUGUUGCCUUAAUAAAGGCCCCAUCCUUGGAGCAGUAGUGGGAAGUGCUUAAAUUCAAAACCAGGAUGAAGGGUGGAAACAGUUUUAGGUGGAAACAGGUUCUAAGUACUUCUUUAACCCUGUCCUCCAUGCUAAAUUUAGGAGAUUGCUAAAGUGAGAGAUAUGUCCCUCUCCCCCCCCUCCCUCCAGCCUCUUCCAAACGAGCUAGUUGCAUGACAGUUGAGACCCUGGGCCUCCACAAAUGUGCCCAGAAAUGUGUGCAAAGAGACAUUUGGUGCUGUACAAAUGGUGACUUGAAAUUAUUGUUAUGCUGUAUGCUCUUGACUUGUUGAAAAGAAGUCCAACUUUAUCAGCGUUUUUAAAGUGUUUUCAAUUGUUUUAUUUGUCUGGUGUCUUCUCUUCCUGUGUUGAUGUCCCUGAAUGCUAAAGAGGAGGAGGAAGUCUGGCUUUGUCCAUGGGAGAAACAGAUGGAAUCCUUCCUCUAACCAGUCACCUCUCCUUCCUCCCUUCCACCCAUACCCUGGGGGUCUAGGAGUCACACCCUUGUUGGGAAGGCAAAGCGAGGAGCCAAAUGGAGGGUCUGGGGCGGGAGCACCCAAGAAGCGCCCUAUGUUCAGACCAGCUCUUCCCAAAGGAAGAGUCAGCAUCAACUGCCAGGUGCUGUGGGACUUAGGAGGAGUAUUUGGGGGGGGGGGGGGGGGGUUUCUUAAAAGAAUCUUUAGGAUAUUUUUGUAGACAAUUUGAGGCUGGGGGAGGUGGAGGGGAUGGGAGAGAUGGCAAGUCAAAGGAGACUUCCUCCCGGGCUCCUUUGUUCAUUAUCAGCAACCAAGUGGCCAUCUGCUUUUGUGCCUCCACACCCCCCUUAGAGAGAACAGAAUGGGGGGCUUUGGAGCAGACACCUUUAGAUUUCCAGGCCUAGGGAGAAGGCCGAGGGCUGCUUCACAAGUCCACGGCCGCCCUCCUAGCGGCUAACAGCCAGGGCAGUGAACUUACAGCUUUUGUGUAAGGUGGGCAGUUUGCUAUGAAUUUUCUCUGACUUUGAUUUUUCUUCUGGACAUCUAGUUGCCCCCACAGGCAUGUUCUGUCCAUGGGUGCUACGUGCAGCCCCCCUUCCCUUACGCCCCCGACCUUGUUCAAGUGCACAGUGAGGAUGCGCUUCUGGGUGCUCACAGUGGAAUGUUGACCAGGCCCCCUCAAGCCAGUAUUUUUGAGCUUCAUGGAUGUAUUACAAAUGUUUUCCUUCCUAUCUUAAACUCUUCAGAUCCUCAUCCACCCCUAUUAUUCUCUUCUCCCUCCCACAUCCCCCCCAACCCCUUUUUUCUUUUAGUCUCAGUUAACAAAUUCAGAGGCUGGUUUUCCUCACUGUGGAAGGGCCAGCAGAGAUUUAUUUCCAGGGGUGAAGGGAGAAGGGAGAAGAAAUACCCCAAUAUCUUCAGAAAGAAUGAACUGGGCUAAGUCUUUCUCCCCCUUCUCCCUCCAUCCCCCUUCUAGAAGGGAAAUACCAAAUUAUGGUCAGAUAUCUUUCAAGCCCCGGGUUUUUUUUUUUGUUGUUUGUUUUUGCUGUUUUUUGUUUUUUUCUUUUUGGUUAAAUAACCAUAAAUUAAUCUGUAUAAGCAUGGAGAGUCCUUUUAAUCAACAAUUUCAAGCAACAAUAGCAAAAGUAAUGUAUUACCUUUGACCCAUGUGCUUUGUGGAUUUCCCCCUGGACAGUGUAAAUUUCCCUCCUUGUAAUGCUUCUGAGUGUACAUAGGUGUAAAUAGCUCACAGGUCAAUUCACACCCUUCUCUUUGUACUAGGUCCAUUUGCGUAGAAUGUGGGGUUAAAACAGCAGCGAGAGUGCAUUGUCUGUAAUGUAACAAUGUAAUUUUUUUUUACAAUGUAGUUUGUGUACAUAUUGUUUGGCAGUGCUGGUGCUGCCCCGGCGCAGCUCUGCCGCUACAGUACUGUCAUUAGCUGUACAACUUCCUGCAGAAAGAGACAAAGUGAAUACAAAUGUUAUUUUCUACAGUUGCAUGUACAGAGAUGAGCGCCAGAGACAUGCUGUUGUCCCUCAGAGAUAAUGUUCGUAAAUAAAUUUUAAAAAAAAC
ensembl:lncRNA